AUAUCUUUCUCGGCCUCUUGGCUAAGAUCAAAUGUAGCAUAUGUUUUUAUCAGUUUAAUAUCUGAUAUGUGGAUUUACACAUCCAUGAGAUAUUAAGUGAUCUUUUUAUGAGGGAGAAUUUGUCUAUGUAGCAUGCUACAUGGACGGUUCUCACCAGAGUCUCAUUUGCACGGUCCAGAGGGACAUUGCUACUGC
rfam:Triticum urartu cultivar G1812 contig428992, whole genome shotgun sequence.